CGCCCAAGGGGGAGAUCAGACCGCCCCCUAUUCCUGCCGUGUAACGAUGCCCACUAUCGAAUCCCGUGCCGUUUGCCGCCUUGAGCCCAGGGAACAGAACCCUCGGAGAACCGGACCCGGAGUGGCCCAAAUAAACUAAAAGGAUAGGAAAGGGCCCCCAGGUGGAGCCUGCGCUUAAUUUGACUCAACACGGGAAAACUCACCCGGCCCGGACACCGUAAGGAUUGACAGAUUGAUAGCUUUUUCAUGAUUCGGUGGUUGGUGGUGCAUGGCCGUUCUUAGUUCGUGGAUCGAUUUGUCUGGUUUAUUCCGAUAACGAGCGAGACUCUAGCCUACUAACUAGUGCGGGGCAUUGCCUCUGUGCUGUCUUCUUAGAGGGAUCAGCUGCAUCUAAGCAGACGAAAUUGAGCAAUAACAGGUCUGUGAUGCCCUUAGAUGUCCGGGGCUACGCGCGCUACACUGGCAAAGGCAGCGUGUUGUCCGUUUCCGAAAGGAAUCGGUAAACCCUUGAAAAUUUGCCGUGAUUGGGAUCGGAAAUGCAAUUAUUUU
rnacentral:rRNA from 1 species